UACAGAGGGGGCAAGCGUUAUUCGGAAUUAUUGGGCGUAAAGGGCGCGUAGGCGGCCUUGCAAGUGACGGGUGAAAUCCCUCGGCUUAACCGAGGAACUGCCUGUCAGACUGCAUGGCUUGAGACCAGGAGAGGUGAGUGGAAUUCCCAGUGUAGCGGUGAAAUGCGUAGAUAUUGGGAGGAACACCAGUGGCGAAGGCGGCUCACUGGACUGGUACUGACGCUGAUGCGCGAAAGCGUGGGGAGCAAACAGG
rnacentral:rRNA from 1 species